GUUGUGGCUCAGUGGUAGAGUGCUUGCCUGGAAUGUGUGAAGUACUGGGUUCAAUCCUCAGCACAACA
rnacentral:tRNA from 2 species